AUAUAUAUAUAUAUAUAUAUAUAUAUAUUAACGUUUGACGAAAUCAACAAAUCGGUUCUAUAAAAUAUCAGUAUCCCUAUUCAUAGAAAAUAUAGAGAAAUUCAACGAGAUCGUCUAAGAUUUAAGAACAAUUCUCAAAGACAAAUUCAGUUUUUUUAGGGGGGUAAAUGCCCAUAACGCUGCAGCCUUCACAGCAAGAUAUAGGACCCAGAGAGUUGGUCUCGUCACAUGCGUUCCUGGGACCAAGCUUACUUGAGUUUGGUGUAACUCUUAGAAGGGCAGCUCAUGCUGGCAAAGAGGCACAGUCACAACUUGUAGAGGUGAGUGUGUCUGAAGGUCUCGUCGGCUCAUGUGCAAAGUCACACAUGCUCAAGACGAGCAAAGGUCACACAUGCUCAAGACGAGCAAAGGUCACACAUGCUCAAGACGAGCAAAUGGCCCAUGCUCAAGACGAACGCCUCUCCAACAUAAAACAUUACAUCAAUUCCUCUUUAUGGAAAGAAAACAUGAUGUUUUUGAUGGAAAUGUAAGAUUCACUCAGACGAUUGUUACUUUGGCAUUAUAUAAUGUUUCAUACAUAGUGUACGUGUACAUAGUGUUUCAUACAUGUGUAACAAGAAGGAAAUCAACAAUGGGUUUUUAUAUUUAAUAAUUCUCCUUCGAUUAAUAAGUUGUCAUCUUGCUAAGACUGAGGGAAGAAAGGUGCGUAGGUGUAUAUGUUUGCCCUUGAAAGUGUGCGUCAAUAUAUAUAUAUACGUAUGCGCGUGUAUGCUUGCAUAAAUGUCAUCAUAUGUAUGUUUGUAUGUAGAUGAAUGUGUGUGCACACAUUUUAGUUAGUCAUAUAUUUUCAAACCUUUUCGAUCUCCUUAAAUUACUAAAACCCCCCUUGCUGGCGAGUUUUGCCCUCGUGCUGGCCGUGAAAGCUGGACAGGUUUUCGGAGUGAAUUUAAUCUAGACACAUUUCACCCCCGUGUAAAAGUCAGAUGUAACAACCUAUAAUAAGUGAAUUACAUGUUGUUGUAAUGCACUUAUUACACGUGAAAAGUGAGCCUUGGUGAAUUUUUUCCCCUUGUUUUGUGAUUGCCUCGUAAGAAAAGGGGUUCCUGUGGUAACUACUUGUUAUGAGGGGAGACGAAGCACAGUUUUUAACAAAACCACAGAACAAACGAGUAGAAUAAUAGAGAGCUAGUUUUAAACAAGAAUUUUUAUAUGUUAACAAGUCCUACAGGACUUUUUUGUCUUUGCAAUAAAUGCUAUAUUGCAACAUAACAGCGGUUUUUUACAGACACUGUUGAUGCGUGAAUAUUUUCUACCAAUCUGGUGCAAGUGUUGUAGUGACGGAUGAGGAGUAAUUCCACCUCAUUAUUGCUAACUAAUGGGGAGUGAUAAUCCGUCACAUGUUGCAGUGUUACAUGCAAUAAGUUGUUAAAUGUUGUAUAAUGUCCCAGAAAAGAACUUUUUAUACGUAGCUUACUGUUACAUAUUACAGAUAUCACAUGCUGUAACUUACAUGAAAGACUGUGUCCUUCUACACAAAGGAGAGUGUAGACUGUUCAAACGAUAUUAGAUUGAAGACCAUCAUAUAAAGCUAUAUUAUUUUUGUCUUUAGAAAAUAUUAAACAAAUUAACUGAAUUUUAAAUAGGUAUAUUCUUCCCAAUCAAUUGGAAUCGCUGGCUUAGGCGAGGACUUGCGAGACUAAAUUCGUGUUAUCACCAAUUUCGCCUCAGAACGUAAGAAUAUAGGAACAUAUGAAUUGUGAAAACUGUAUAUGGCAUUUAGGACCAUGUGAAGCAACUAUUUAUAUCAUAACAAGCUCUUUCAUAUAUAUGGCUAAUCUGAACAUGAAACAAUUUAGCGGUCCAAUACUCCAGCCAUAUGUGACAUGAUUUUCGAGACGGAUCAAUAAAUUUACAAUGAACAGUGAUUGGCUGAUUAUUCCACCAUAUUGUUAACCUUUUGUAACAUUAAUAAAAUAAACAUAUUAACCAGAGCUUUUAUAUAUAUGUUACUAAAAUAAUCGCCAUGCAUAUUUAAACAGACACAAGCAAGUCAGUCACAAUCAACAUUUAUUAUGAAUAUAUAUAGUUUUAAGAAAAAAUGUUAACAAGAAAAUGUAUAGUUAAUUAUUUGUGUCUAGAAAUGUUUCUUAAGAAUUGCAGGAGCAGCACAGUACUUGACACAAGUCUCCAAGUCCAAGCCACGGAAAUAUUCAUGUAAAUACUGUGUAAGUUUUGUUGGUGAUUUCAUGUUGUUAUGACGUUGUUGAGUACGCAAGUCUAGAGCCCAUUAUUUACUGUCAGUUGCUAAACCUGCUUACACCUUAGCUGGAUUAAGUUCUCAUCUGCUCUGUAACAUAAAGCCUCUUACCCCGUUUGUAUACGAUAUGUACCGAUUAAAAAAAUAACGAAA